rnacentral:rRNA from 1 species
CCUACGGGGGGCAGCAGUGAGGAAUAUUGGUCAAUGGACGAGAGUCUGAACCAGCCAAGUAGCGUGAAGGAUGACUGCCCUAUGGGUUGUAAACUUCUUGUAUAAAGGAAUAAAACGAGGCACGUGUGCCUUUUUGCAUGUACUUAAUGAAUAAGGAUCGGCUAACUCCGUGCCAGCAGCCGCGGUAAUACGGAGGAUCCGAGCGUUAUCCGGAUUUAUUGGGUUUAAAGGGAGCGUAGAUGGGUUGUUAAGUCAGUUGUGAAAGGUUGCGGCUCAACCGUAAAAUUGCAAUUGAUACUGGCAGUCUUGAGUACAGGUGAGGGAGGCGGAAUUCGUGGUGUAGCGGUGAAAUGCGUAGAUAUCACGAAGAACCCCGAUUGCGAAGGCAGCUUACUAAACUGUGACUGACAUUGAUGCUCGAAAGUGUGGGUAUCAAACAGGAUUAGAUACCCUGGUAGUC